rnacentral:rRNA from 1 species
GACGGAGGGUGCUAGCGUUGUUCGGAAUCACUGGGCGUAAAGGGCGCGUAGGCGGCGCCGCAAGUCGGCGGUGAAAGCCCGGGGCUCAACCCCGGAGCUGCAGUCGAUACUGCGGAUCUGGAGGCCGGAGGAGGUGGGUGGAAUUCCUAGUGUAGAGGUGAAAUUCGUAGAUAUUAGGAAGAACACCGGUGGCGAAAGCGGCUCUCUGGUCCGGUACUGACGCUGAGGCGCGAAAGCGUGGGGAGCAAACAGG